rnacentral:rRNA from 1 species
ACGGCUCAGUAACACGUGGAUAACAUGCCCUAAGGUGGGGGAUAAUCUCGGGAAACUGAGGAUAAUACCCCAUAGGUCUGAUCUGCUGGAAUGCUUUCAGGCCGAAAACUCCGGUGCCUUAGGAUUGGUCUACGGUCUAUCAGGCAGUAGUGGGUGUAACGGACCCACUAGCCCGUGACGGAUAUGGGCCUUGAGAGAGGGAGCCCAGAGAUGGACUCUGAGACAUGAGUCCAGGCCCUACGGGGCGCAGCAGUCGCGAAAACUUCGCAAUGGGGGCAACCCCGACGAGGGAAUUCCAAGUGCCAGCACUUUGUGUUGGCUGUUCUCCUGUCUAAAAAACAGGAGGAGUAAGGGGCGGGUAAGACGGGUGCCAGCCGCCGCGGUAAUACCCGCGCCCCUAGUGGUGGUCGAUAUUAUUGAGCCUAAAACGUCCGUAGCCGGUCUUUUAAAUCCUUGGGUAAAUCGGGCAGCUUAACUGUCCGAAGUCCGGGGAGACUGGAAGACUUGGGACCGGGAGAGGUCAGAGGUACUUCUGGGGUAGGGGUAAAAUCCUGUAAUCCUGGAAGGACCACCGGUGGCGAAGGCGUCUGACUAGAACGGAUCCGACGGUGAGGGACGAAGCCCUGGGGCGCAAACGGGAUUAGAUACCCCGGUAGUCCAGGGUGUAAACGCUGCGGGCUUGGUGUUGGGGGUCCUUAGUGGGCGCCCAGUGCCGGAGAGAAGUUGUUAAGCCUGCUGCUUGGGGAGUAUGUCCGCAAGGAUGAAACUUAAAGGAAUUGGCGGGGGAGCAC